ensembl:snRNA U6 U6 spliceosomal RNA
GUGCUCACUUCAUAAAUACAUGUAUUAAAAUUGGAACAAUGCAGAGAUGAAUAGCAUGGGCCCUGCCCAAGGGUGACAUGUAAAUUUGUGAAGCUUCUUUAUAUAUA